ACAGAGGUCUCAAGCGUUGUUCGGAUUCAUUGGGCGUAAAGGGCGCGUAGGCGGCUUGGCAAGUGGAAGGUGAAAUCCCUCGGCUUAACCGAGGAACUGCCCUCCAAACUGCUUUGCUUGAGGCCGGGAGAGGCGAGUGGAAUUCCCAGUGUAGCGGUGAAAUGCGUAGAUAUUGGGAGGAACACCAGUGGCGAAGGCGGCUCGCUGGACCGGUUCUGACGCUGAUGCGCGAAAGCGUGGGGAGCAAACGGGA
rnacentral:rRNA from 1 species